GUCAGAAGUCAGCCCUAAUUUUUCACCACAGAACUCAUAUAAGACAGGAACCCUAUGGAUGUAAUGAAUGUGGAAAAUCAUUCUAUGUGAAGUCAAGAGGCCAGAGAAAAUGCACAAACUAUAGGAAACUAUAGGAAAGCAUUUACUAUGAGAUAUACCUUUGGAGUCCAACCCUUCUGACCAUCCAGAGGCAAGCAAUAAUAUUCCUGAGAAAAUCUCCAACAGAUGUGAGACCUUGGCGAUAUAUUAUCAUAUCAAGCAAAGGAAUGAGUUGGAAAGGCAAUUCUUAGUAAUUAAUUAUAAUAUCGCGUGGCAGUCUUAUGAAUUCUG
rnacentral:lncRNA from 1 species